rnacentral:rRNA from 1 species
AAGGAAACGUGGGGCUAAUACCGGAUAGGAGCCUCCUGCUGCAUGGUGGGGGUUGGAAAGUUUCGGCGGUUGGGGAUGGACUCGCGGCUUAUCAGCUUGUUGGUGGGGUAGUGGCUUACCAAGGCUUUGACGGGUAGCCGGCCUGAGAGGGUGACCGGCCACAUUGGGACUGAGAUACGGCCCAGACUCCUACGGGAGGCAGCAGUGGGGAAUAUUGCACAAUGGGCGGAAGCCUGAUGCAGCAACGCCGCGUGCGGGAUGACGGCCUUCGGGUUGUAAACCGCUUUCGCCUGUGACGAAGCGUGAGUGACGGUAAUGGGUAAAGAAGCACCGGCUAACUACGUG